UGUGUCCAGUCAUGACUAAGCAUGUCUGUGGCUGCUGUUCCUUAGAGCCAGCAACUUAGUGAGUGCAGCAUGCCCCAGCAUGUCUAUGGCAGAUGCUCCCUACAAGAGAAAUGGCAAAACUGCUUGAUCCUGGGAUGAAUAUGGAGGAAAGCAGAGAAUACAUAGGAAGAAAGCAAGACAUUCUGAAGAUACCAUUUGAACAUGUGGAUCCAGCAAUGCCUGACUGACUGGACUCAUUCCUGGACUUUAUAAUCCUUUAAGCUAAUAAAUGUCCUUUUGCGAUAAACCA